UUUCGCAAUGCCCGAAAGGGUGACGAAGCGACGCCGCGUGAGUGACGAAGGCCUUCGGGUUGUAAAGCUCUGUCAGGAGUUAAGAAAUAUAAAUUCAAGAAUAUUGGAUUUGUUUGACAAAGGCUCCAAAGGAAGCCACGGCUAACUCUGUGCCAGCAGCCGCGGUAAUACAGAGGUGGCAAGCGUUGUUCGGAAUUAUUGGGCGUAAAGAGCACGUAGGUGGGUUUGUAAGUCAGAUGUGAAAGCCUUCUGUUCAACGGAAGAAUUGCAUCUGAAACUACAAGUCUUGAGUGUAGGAGGGGAGAAUGGAACUUCUGGUGGAGCGGUGAAAUGCGCAGAUAUCAGAAGGAACGCCGGCGGCGAAAGCGAUUCUCUGGCCUAUUACUGACACUCAGUGUGCGAAAGCUAGGGGAGCAAACGGGAUUAGAUACCCCGGUAGUCCUAGCCGUAAACGAUGGGCACUAAGUAGAGGGGUUUUA
rnacentral:rRNA from 1 species